UACGGGGGGGGCAAGCGUUGUUCGGAAUUACUGGGCGUAAAGGGCUCGUAGGUGGCCAACUAAGUCAGACGUGAAAUCCCUCAGCUUAACUGGGGAACUGCGUCUGAUACUGGAUGGCUUGAGUUUGGGAGAGGGACGCGGAAUUCCAGGUGUAGCGGUGAAAUGCGUAGAUAUCUGGAGGAACACCGGUGGCGAAGGCGGCAUUCUGGACUGCAACUGACACUGAAAGACGAAAGCCAGGGGAGCAAACGGG
rnacentral:rRNA from 1 species